rnacentral:misc_RNA from 1 species
GUGAAUCAUCGAAUUUUUGAAUGCAAAUUGCGCUAUCUUCGGAGAGUAUGCCUGUUUGAGGGUGAGCCUAAAAAAAAUCGACAUAGUCGCUGUUUUGGUGGUGACAUUCGUCGGCAAUUGGGUCAUUUUUAACAUUUGGGUUUUAAGCGGGUUAAAAUUUUCUUUACGGAUUUGACGAACGUUUAUAUUAUUUACUUCUUAC